GAUGAACGCUAGCUACAGGCUUAACACAUGCAAGUCGAGGGGAAACGACAUCGAAAGCUUGCUUUUGAUGGGCGUCGACCGGCGCACGGGUGAGUAACGCGUAUCCAACCUGCCCAUCACUUGGGGAUAACCUUGCGAAAGUAAGACUAAUACCCAAUGAUAUCUCUAGAAGACAUCUGAAAGAGAUUAAAGAUUUAUCGGUGAUGGAUGGGGAUGCGUCUGAUUAGCUUGUUGGCGGGGUAACGGCCCACAAAGGCGACAAUCAGUAGGCGUUAUGAAAGGAAGGUCCCCCACAUUGGAAAUGAGACACGGUCCAAACGCCUACGGGAGGCAGCAGUGAGGAAUAUUGGUCAAUGGGCGAGAGCCUGAACCAGCCAAGUAGCGUGCAGGAAGACGGCCCUAUGGGUUGUAAACUGCUUUUAUAAGGGAAUAAAGUGAGUCUCGUGAGACUUUUUGCAUGUACCUUAUGAAUAAGGACCGGAUAAUUCCGUGCCAGCCGCCGCUGUAA
rnacentral:rRNA from 1 species